AGAGUUUGAUCCUGGCUCAGGAUGAACGCUAGCGGCAGGCUUAACACAUGCAAGUCGAGGGGCAGCACAGGUGGCAACACCGGGUGGCGACCGGCGUAAGGGUGCGUAACACGUGAGCGACAUACCCGUAUCUGGAGGAUAACCGGAGGAAACUCUGCCUAAUACUCCAUAAUAUCACUGGACGGCAUCGUUUGGUGAUUAAAGAUUUAUCGGACACGGAUUGGCUCGCGGGACAUUAGCUUGUUGGUGGGGUAACGGCUCACCAAGGCAACGAUGUCUAGGGGUUCUGAGAGGAAGGUCCCCCACACUGGAACUGAGACACGGUCCAGACUCCUACGGGAGGCAGCAGUGAGGAAUAUUGGACAAUGGUCGGAAGACUGAUCCAGCCAUGCCGCGUGAAGGUUACGGUCCUAUGGAUUUUAAACUUCUUUUGUAUGGAAGCAAUAAGGUGCACGUGUGCAUCGAUGAGAGUACCAUACGAAUAAGCAUCGGCUAACUCCGUGCCAGCAGCCGCGGUAAUACGGAGGAUGCAAGCGUUAUCCGGAUUUAUUGGGUUUAAAGGGUGCGUAGGCGGAUUAAUAAGUCAGCGGUGAAACUCACAGGCUCAACCUGUGCCGUGCCGUUGAAACUGUUUAUCUCGAAUGCGGAUGCUGUGGGAGGAAUGUGUAGUGUAGCGGUGAAAUGCAUAGAUAUUACACAGAACACCGAUUGCGAAGGCAUCUCACAAAGCCGUGAUUGACGCUGAGGCACGAAAGUGUGGGGAUCAAACAGGAUUAGAUACCCUGGUAGUCCACUACUGUAACCGAUGAUAACUCGCUGCCGGCGAUAUAUAGUCGGUGGCCCAGCGAAAGCGAUAAGUUAUCCACCUGGGGAGUACGACCGCAAGGUUGAAACUCAAAUGAAUUGACGG
rnacentral:rRNA from 1 species